rnacentral:rRNA from 1 species
GACGGAGGGUGCUAGCGUUGUUCGGAAUGACUGGGCGUAAAGGGCGCGUAGGCGGCUCGUGAAGUCGGGUGUGAAAGCCCGGGGCUCAACCCCGGAACUGCAUCCGAUACUGGUCGGCUUGAAUCCGGGAGAGGGAUGCAAAAUUCCAGGUGUAGCGGUGAAAUGCGUAGAUAUCUGGAGGAAUACCGGUGGCGAAGGCGGCAUCCUGGACCGGCAUUGACGCUGAACAGCGAAAGCUAGGGGAGCAAACGGG